AUAAAUAAUGUUACGUAUCAAAACGCUCAAUCGACAGAGAAAUGUGCACCGCCUGUGUUGAGAAACUGUGCCUUUAAACGAGCCGUCGAGACUUCUGUACUGUUGUGAUGUCACAACUAUAUUGUAUAUAGGUAGAAAGUGUUGCUACAGUGCCGUUACAGUCAUUCGCCAGUUCCAAUGACGGUGCAGAGACUCUGAGCACAGAUGUUGAAGAUCCGCAAAUGCUGACCAAUCAGAGCAGAAUGGGCUUUUUGGGAGGGGGGGCUUAAAAAGACUGGUGCUAAAAUGGAGUGUU